rnacentral:rRNA from 1 species
AGUGAACGCUGGCGGUAGGCCUAACACAUGCAAGUCGAACGGCAGCACAGUAAGAGCUUGCUCUUACGGGUGGCGAGUGGCGGGCGGGUGAGGAAUACAUCGGAAUCUACUUUUUCGUGGGGGAUAACGUAGGGAAACUUACGCUAAUACCGCAUACGACCUACGGGUGAAAGCAGGGGGUCUUCGGACCUUGCGCGAUUGAAUGAGCCGAUGUCGGAUUAGCUAGUUGGCGGGGUAAAGGCCCACCAAGGCGACGAUCCGUAGCUGGUCUGAGAGGAUGAUCAGCCACACUGGAACUGAGACACGGUCCAGACUCCUACGGGAGGCAGCAGUGGGGAAUAUUGGACAAUGGGCGCAAGCCUGAUCCAGCCAUACCGCGUGGGUGAAGAAGGCCUUCGGGUUGUAAAGCCCUUUUGUUGGGAAAGAAAAGCAGCAGGUUAAUACCCCGCUGUUCUGACGGUACCCAAAGAAUAAGCACCGGCUAACUUCGUG